rfam:Frankia sp. Dg2 genome assembly, contig: Dg2_contig2151
GGGGCGGUAGCUCAGUCGGUCAGAGCAGCGGACUCAUAAUCCGUCGGUCGUGGGUUCGAGUCCCACCCGCCCCA